UCGCUGGUGGUUCAGUGGUAGAAUUCUUAUCUUCCAUGCAGGAGACCUAGGUUCGAUUUCCAGCCAAUGCA
rnacentral:tRNA from 1 species